rnacentral:sRNA from 2 species
CUAAUAAAUAAGCCGAAUCUUCUUAAGGGAGUACGGGGGACACACAUCACAUAUGGGGUUAAUCUGUGAAGAAAUUUUUAUACAAGGAAGGUCACCUCUACCUAACCCGACAGCUAACCUCGGAGGCUUGAAUAAGGAGGAAAC